UUUGGUAAAGCUGAAAAUGUGAUGUGCAUUUCUUUUGGCUUAUAAAUAUGCAUCACCAUUGCCUUAAUUCACAAGUUUGGCAUCCCAAAAUUCCUCCCAGAAAAAUAUUCUCCAAACUUCAAAAAAUUUCAGAUAUGAAAUUCCCUUAGAUCUUAGCAUUCUUCAAAACAAAAACCAAAAAUAAUAUAAAACUGCCGAACAUCAAAGAAAAGUUACUGUUUGAUUGGAAUUCUUUGUGAAUUUUAUCUUCGAGUUAUUGAUCUACAUUUUUAGUUUGGUUUAUGAUCAUUCAAAGUUUUGGGGGGGGUGUUGUUGAUUGAUUCCGAGGGAAUUUUUGGUUCAAGCAGGAUUGUUUUAGGCUAUGUCUACCAUUUGGCAAUUUAAAAAAUGGUUCCAGUCCAUUUUUGAGUUGGUCUGGGUGGUUUCGAAUAAUCUUGGUCUGAUAUUGAGUUCAUUUGGUGGUCUUUAGGAUUUUUCGAUUGCGUACUUCAGUGGUCUAUUGCUAUUGCUCCAUUUCGAAACAUUUAUGGGUUGAUCUGAAGUUGGAAUCAGUGUGUUUGAAUUGAAAUUGGUUUCUUUGAGGCCACUGAAAAGGCCUUGGGUCAUUUGGGAAUUUAGUUGAUGCUUUCAGGGGAUAUUGAUUGAUUUUUUGAUUUUUUCUGAUUUCUAAAAUCCUCCCGGAUCAUCAUAAAUAUUUCUGGGCUGUUAUUUGGUUGCUUCUCACUUUGUUGCUGACUUCUUCUUCUUGUUGAAUUUCUGCACCCAGGUACACUUUGCUGAUUGUUUCAUGUAGCUCCUCAAUUGAAGUGAAACAGAAAUUUCCCUCAACUCUAUUAUAGAUGAUUGCGUGAUAUUGCGUCUAAUGUAGUUUAGUUUGUUUACUUGCUAGGUGUUGUAAUUAUAUAGACUUAAAUUGAGUCAUUGGACUCAAUUCAUAAACUGUGGUAUUGUUUAUGUGGUCUUCUAAUCUUUAUGGUGUUGUUCAAUCCUGUUGGUUUAACAUUUGAAGUUAUUUGGCUUGGUUGGCAGUGGUAUAGCCAUAUAUGUAAUUGUAUUGAUCUAAUGGCGUUAGGUUUUUAGUAAUAAAGGAGGAUGGUUUGUUUUUAUCAGCGCAUCAUGUUUAUAAUUGCAAGGAUUUGUGUGGGUUUGAUUUGAAAACAAUUGCCCCGUUUGUAUUUGUGAAUCAAGUUCCAAUUGCAUUCUUACAUGUU
rnacentral:lncRNA from 1 species